GACGAACGCUGUCGGCGUGCUUAACACAUGCAAGUCGAACGGAAAGGCCCUGCUUUUGUGGGGUGCUCGAGUGGCGAACGGGUGAGUAACACGUGAGUAACCUGCCCUUGACUUUGGGAUAACUUCAGGAAACUGGGGCUAAUACCGGAUAGGAGCUCCUGCUGCAUGGUGGGGGUUGGAAAGUUUCGGCGGUUGGGGAUGGACUCGCGGCUUAUCAGCUUGUUGGUGGGGUAGUGGCUUACCAAGGCUUUGACGGGUAGCCGGCCUGAGAGGGUGACCGGCCACAUUGGGACUGAGAUACGGCCCAGACUCCUACGGGAGGCAGCAGUGGGGAAUAUUGCACAAUGGGCGGAAGCCUGAUGCAGCAACGCCGCGUGCGGGAUGACGGCCUUCGGGUUGUAAACCGCUUUCGCCUGUGACGAAGCGUGAGUGACGGUAAUGGGUAAAGAAGCACCGGCUAACUACGUGCCAGCAGCCGCGGUGAUACGUAGGGUGCGAGCGUUGUCCGGAUUUAUUGGGCGUAAAGGGCUCGUAGGUGGUUGAUCGCGUCGGAAGUGUAAUCUUGGGGCUUAACCCUGAGCGUGCUUUCGAUACGGGUUGACUUGAGGAAGGUAGGGGAGAAUGGAAUUCCUGGUGGAGCGGUGGAAUGCGCAGAUAUCAGGAGGAACACCAGUGGCGAAGGCGGUUCUCUGGGCCUUUCCUGACGCUGAGGAGCGAAAGCGUGGGGAGCGAACAGGCUUAGAUACCCUGGUAGUCCACGCUGUAAACGGUGGGUACUAGGUGUGGGGUCCAUUCCACGGGUUCCGUGCCGUAGUUAACGCUUUAAGUACCCCGCCUGGGGAGUACGGCCGCAAGGCUAAAACUCAAAGGAAUUGACGGGGCCCCGCACAAGCGGCGGAGCAUGCGGAUUAAUUCGAUGCAACGCGUAGAACCUUACCUGGGUUUGACAUGGAUCGGGAGUGCUCAGAGAUGGGUGUGCCUCUUUUGGGGUCGGUUCACAGGUGGUGCAUGGCUGUCGUCAGCUCGUGUCGUGAGAUGUUGGGUUUAGUCCCGCAACGAGCGCAACCCUUGUUCACUGUUGCCAGCACGUUAUGGUGGGGACUCAGUGGAGACCGCCGGGGUCAACUCGGAGGAAGGUGGGGAUGACGUCAAGUCAUCAUGCCCCUUAUGUCCAGGGCUUCACGCAUGCUACAAUGGCUGGUACAGAGAGUGGCGAGCCUGUGAGGGUGAGCGAAUCUCGGAAAGCCGGUCUCAGUUCGGAUUGGGGUCUGCAACUCGACCUCAUGAAGUCGGAGUCGCUAGUAAUCGCAGAUCAGCAACGCUGCGGUGAAUACGUUCCCGGG
rnacentral:rRNA from 1 species